rnacentral:rRNA from 1 species
UGGUGGAGUGAUUUGUCUGGUUAAUUCCGUUAACGAACGAGACCUUGACCGCUAAAUAGUUACGCGAACCGUCUGCCAUGGGGUGAAGCGAUUCGGGCGUUGCGGCUUCACGGUCGCGGCCUCGGGUUGUGAAUCCCCUGAUGUGUUCGUGGAUAUACUUCUUAGAGGGACUUUCGGCGUUUAGCCGAAGGAAGUUCGAGGCUAUAACA